rnacentral:siRNA from 1 species
AACCUCGGAGAAGCAAGCAGCUCA